UUUUUUCUUAUUUUUCAAGUUUUUUUCAUUUGAAAACAAGAUUUUCGGCCUCAUUUUUUCUUUUUCCAGUUGAAUUUAUCUGGACCUUUAAUUUUAAAGGAAAUUAAAUCUGGGCUGCAGAUUUUUUAACCGUUAGAGGACCAGAGCCGAGCUCACAUAGGAUGACCCACACCAGUCCAACUCCCUUCAUCACGUGGUGGGUGCGUCGUCUUCUUCCGGUCGUUUUCUUGUCUUCUAGCACGCGUCUGGUCCUGCUUGGCGUUCCCGCGCGUUGCUCUGCAACUGCCUCUUUCCUUCACAUGCAGCUGCUGGCUCAUGGGUCCCGCGCAAGUUGCAAGUGGGUUUCCUCCUUCACAGUCGACCCAUUUUGGGUCGGGAAACUAGUAGGAACCCAUUUUAGGUAUAGGUUUGGAUUGUUGGAGAUGAGUUUUUUUUUGGGUUUUGAGUAUAGGUGUUGGAAAGUGUAUUUUACCGUUUAAUUACAAUUGAUCUGUUAGGAUAUUAGAAUAGAUGUGCUAGAUAUUGUAUCAUAUUGUAAUAGGUAUACUAGGGAUUACUAGCUGUAGUUACCCUAUUAGUUUCCUAUCUUGUUGGAGACUAAUCUUGCUGUACAAGGCUACGAUGUAUAUAUUGUUGCAUAUCAAUGUAAAGUUAUUCAUUCUGUCAUAUUAUACUUAUCUAUAUGGUAUCAGAGCACAACGCUCUUGGACCAAAAUUAUCAUAAUAUUUCUGAUCAGUUGGUGUUUCUUUGAGAAGUUUUGAUUUAUCUUUUGUCUAUCAUGGCUUCAGUUCAUUUUACCAUUCAGAAACUUCAAGCAAUUGCCCCUCAUCUUACCGCUGAACAAUGCUUACAUAUUAUGGCAUUGGUAAAAAGUAAGCAUAUUUUUUCUCAAGCAAACGAUAUAGGUUUACCGCAUUCUUCAUCAAAUUUGUUACCAGUCGCUCCUAAUCGUUGGAUUAUUGAUAGCGGAGCAACUCAUCACAUUACUUCUUCUUCAAAAUUGUUGAUGAAUAUUGAUCAGAAUCCUUCUCUGGCACCAGUUUCUUUACCUAGUGGAGCCACGGCCGGAACUACUAUGACCUGUUCCAUUCGGCUUAAUGAUUUAUUCCAAUUAAAUAAUGUUCUCUGUGUGCUGAGCUUCAAAGUUGAUCUUAUGUCUGUUGGAAAGACAAUUGAUGACUUACAUUGUUCAGUGACUUUUUUUCCGUCUUGGUGUAUUUUACAAGACUUGGCUACGAGGACGAUGAUUGGUGUGGGUAAGCGACGUGGUGACCUCUAUUACCUUGUGGCUUUGGCUUCUACUUCUCCUUCUUCCCACUUUACUUGUAAUCUCAUGAUUUCUUCUGAUCUUUGGCACCGUCAUUUGGGGCACCCUUCUUCUGCUCGUCUACAAUAUUUAGCCAAUAGUAAGCUAAAUUUUUCUUUUGAUUCUAGUCAUAAAUGUGACGUUUGUCCAUUGGCGAAACAAACUCAUCAACCUUUUUUCCGUAGUUCAAUUUCAACCUCCAAGUGUUUUUCCCUUAUUCAUUGUGAUAUUUGGGGCCGUUAUAAAACACCCUCUUAUUCUGGUGCUAAUUAUUUUUUAACUAUCGUUGAUGAUUUUUCCCGUUUUACGUGGGUAUUCUUGAUGCGUCAUAAAAGUGAGACACAAACAAUACUUCGUCAAUUUUUCAGUUAUGUUGCUACUCAAUUUAAACACCAAAAAUCCAACAAUUCCGUUCUGACAAUGGUGCUGAGUUCCUUUCUUUACAAAAAUUUUCCUCGAACAAGGAGUAAUUUUCCAACAUUCUUGUGUCUAUACACCCAACAAAUGGUGUUGUCGAGCGAAACACAGACACAUUCUUGAAACAGCUCGUGCUCUUCGUUUUCAAUCUCAUCUACCUAUUUCUUUUUGAGGUGAAUGUGUUCUCACUGCUGUCUACACCAUUAACCGUCUUCCACUUUGUUACUCAACAAGAAAACUCCAUUCGAAAUACUUUACAACAAGCCCCCCGAUUAUUCUCGUAUGCGUGUUUUUGGUUGCGUUGCCUUUGCAAAAUCUAUCAAUCCAUCAUCAAAAUUUGCUCCUCGUGCACAUAAAUGCAUCUUUGUUGGAUAUCCUAUAGGUCAAAAGGCUUACAAAUUGAACAAUAUUGAGACCAAAAAGAUCUUUACAAAUCGAGAUGUGAUUUUUCUUGAAGAUACUUUUCAUCAUUCAGCACCUAUUGUCAAACCCAUUGAGCCCACUCCACAGGCCCAGCCCAUUCCUCUUCCUUUUGACUUUGAUCCUUUCUUACUCAAUCAAUCCUUUUCCACACAGAGCACGUCUUCUUCCUCUCCUUUCCCAACUCCAACGACAUCUCCUCACCCCAAUCCGCCGCUGCCUUCACCACCUACUUCGCUGCCUUUUCCACCACCCCAUCCGCCUUCACCUCCCAAUCCGUUGCCCUCUCCACCACACGAUCCGCCGCCCUCUACACCACCCAAUCAGCUCCUUCCAUCCGAUUUCAGAACCUCUAUUCACCGCCCUCCAGUCCCAACAGCUAUCGCCGGCGACCAUCACAGCGACGACGUCUUUCAGGGAGACGGCGUCUCUCACGGCGUCGACGUUGAACCCGUGAUUUUCCAGCCACAAGCUAUCGUCCCUCCAAUUCCCAAUCCUCCUAUUCCCGAUUCCAAUCCUGUCAUUCUUUCCGAUGAUGUUGAACCUAUUCCUGCCCUCCACCGAUCCUAGCGCCCAAGAGAAGCCAAUGUCCGCCUCCGUGAUUACGUCUGCUCGCAGGUGAUUCUGCCUCCACACCACCAUUCAUCUGCCUCACCAAGUCCUCCACCAGGUACGAGGUAUCCUCUCUGUCAUUAUUUAUCUUAUGAUCGGUAUUCACCUGCACAUCUCAAUUAUGUUGCUAAUGUGAGCCGGGAUGAAGAACCGGAAUCUUAUGAUGUUGCUGCAGCCGAUCCAAAAUGGAAGGAGGCUAUGACUUCCGAGCUUCAAGCUCUUACUGACAAUCAGACAUGGAGUCUUGUUCCUUUGCCUUCUGGAAAACGUCCAAUUAGUUGUAAGUGGGUCUACCGGAUCAAGCGCAAAGCUGAUGGUUCUGUUGAGCACUAUAAAGCUCGCCUUGUUGCUCGAGGUUUCACUCAAGCUGCUGGUAUAGAUUAUCAUGACACUUUUUCCCCUACUGCCAAAAUGGUAACUGUCCGCUGCCUUCUUGCUAUUGCUGCUAGUCAGAAUUGGUCUUUGCAUCAAUUAGAUGUUAAUAAUACUUUCUUAAAUGGUGAUUUGUUGGAAGAAAUAUAUAUGUCCCCUCUUCCUGGUCUUCGGCGACAGAGGGAGAACCUUGUGUGUCGCCUUCACAAGUCGUUGUAUGGCCUUAAACAAGCCUCUCGACAGUGGUUUUCUAAGUUCACAUAAGUUGUUCUUGCUGCUGGUUUCAGUCAAUCCAGAGCCGAUUAUUCCUUAUUUGUUCGAAAAGAUGGUGCAUCUCUCACUGUCUUAUUGAUAUAUGUGGACGACAUUUUGAUCACAGGAAACAAUAUUGAGUCUAUUAAUGCUUUAAAGCAGUUUCUUCAUACUCGUUUUCGUAUCAAGGAUCUUGGUGAUUUGAAAUUUUUCCUAGGUAUUGAGAUAGCUCGUUCCAAGAAAGGGAUUUAUAUAUCCCAACGUAAAUAUGCCUUGGAAAUCAUUAAAGACAGUGGUUAUUUGGGUGCUAAGCCAGUUGAUUUUCCCAUGGAAGAGUGCAAGCUUUCAAACAAAGUAGAACCACUCAAAGAUGCAGCAGCAUAUCGACGUCUAGUUGGCCGAUUGAUUUACUUGACAAUCACUAGACCCGACAUCACAUAUUCAGUGCAUGUUCUGAGUCGAUUUAUGCACGAACCUCGUCAACAACACAUGGCAGCAGCCCUUCGGGUAGUUCGAUAUUUGAAAUCUGCUCCAGGGCAAGGUCUCCUUCUUCAGGCUAAUAAUUCUUUAAAUUUGAGAGCUUUUUGUGAUUCUGAUUGGGCGGGUUGUCCCAUUACUCGGCGUUCUACUACUGGUUAUUGUGUAUUCUUGGGUAAUUCCCUGAUUUCAUGGAGGACAAAGAGGCAGAAAACAGUUUCUCUAUCAAGUGCAGAGGCCGAAUAUAGAGCUAUGGCAAGUACAUGUUGUGAACUUACUUGGUUGCGAUAUCUAUUGAAAGAUUUACACAUGGGUAUUUUGGGUCCUGCUGUUUUACAUUGUGAUAAUCAAGCAGCCUUGCAUAUAGCUGCAAAUCCGGUGUUUCAUGAACGAACAAGGCAUAUCGAAAUGGAUUGCCAUUUUAUUCGAGAUAAGAUUCUACAAGGCCAAGUUGUUACUCGAUUUGUUAUCUCUUCAAAACAAUUGGCGGAUGUGUUCACUAAACCUUUGGGCAAAUAGAAAUUCAAGUCACUUGUCUGCAAGUUGGGAGUUCUUGACAUUCACUCUCCAACUUGAGGGGGAGUGUUGAAAAGUGUAUUUUGCAGUUUAAUUACAAUUGAUCUGUUAUGAUAUUAGAAUAGAUGUGCUAGAUAUUGUAUCAUAUUGUAAUAGGUAUACUAGGGAUUACUAGCUGUAGUUACCCUAUUAGUUUCCUAUCUUGUUGGAGACUAAUCUUGCUGUACAAGGCUACGAUGUAUAUAUUGUUGCAUAUCAAUGUAAAGUUAUUCAUUCUGCCAUAUUAUACUUUUCUAUAAUAGGUAUGGGUAUAGCAACCCUUGUUGGAGAUGCCCUAAAGACUUGAUACUACAAUCUAAUAAGAAAUCUAAAAGACUUAACAUGAGCAAAACAAUAAAUCCAAAAGACUUAACAGGAACAAAACUAACUGAACAGAAUUCAAAGACAGAAUUCAAAAAACGUCAGGGCAGUCAAUAUAGGAGUUGGGACAUGUUGAGCCUCAUGAUGUACCCCUCCACAACCCAAGUCAACUUGUGAAACAAUAUGGCCUGAGGUUGACGAUCCGGCAAAAAAUUUCAUAAAACGACAAGCUUGUUAUCCUAAAUUAUAGUCACAAUUUAGUAUUUACUUUGAAAAUGAAAUGGAGGAUG
rnacentral:lncRNA from 1 species